AGCGAACGCUGGCGGCAGGCUUAACACAUGCAAGUCGAACGCCCCGUAAGGGGAGUGGCAGACGGGUGAGUAACACGUGGGAACGUACCCUUUGGUUCGGAAUAACUUGGGGAAACUCAAGCUAAUACCGGAUAAGCCCUUAUGGGGAAAGGUUUACUGCCGAAGGAUCGGCCCGCGUCUGAUUAGCUAGUUGGUGAGGUAAUGGCUCACCAAGGCGACGAUCAGUAGCUGGUCUGAGAGGAUGAUCAGCCACACUGGGACUGAGACACGGCCCAGACUCCUACGGGAGGCAGCAGUGGGGAAUAUUGGACAAUGGGGGCAACCCUGAUCCAGCCAUGCCGCGUGAGUGAUGAAGGCCUUAGGGUUGUAAAGCUCUUUUACCCGGGACGAUAAUGACUGUACCGGGAGAAUAAGCCCCGGCUAACUUCGUGCCAGCCGCCGCAGUAA
rnacentral:rRNA from 1 species